rnacentral:rRNA from 1 species
UACGUAGGGUGCGAGCGUUGCCCGGAUUUAUUGGGCGUAAAGGGCGCGUAGGCGGCUCUGCACGUCCGUUGUGAAAUCGCCCGGCUCAACUGGGCGGGGUCAGCGGAUACGGCGGAGCUUGAGCAAGCUAGGGGGCAAUGGAAUUCCCGGUGUAGCGGUGAAAUGCGCAGAUAUCAGGAAGAACACCCGUGGCUAAGGCGGCUCUCUAGUACGGUACUGACGCUGAGACGCGAAAGCGUGGGGAGCGAACAGG